rnacentral:rRNA from 1 species
UACGUAGGGGGCAAGCGUUAUCCGGAUUUACUGGGUGUAAAGGGGGCGCAGACGGCAAUGCAAGCCAGGAGUGAAAGCCCGGGGCUUAACCCCGGAACGGCUUUGGAAACUGGCCGGCUGGAGUGCUGGAGAGGCAGGCGGAAUUCCUGGUGUAGCGGUGAAAUGCGUAGAUAUCAGGAGGAACACCGGUGGCGAAGGCGGCCUGCUGGACAGUAACUGACGUUGAGGCUCGAAAGCGUGGGGAGCAAACAGG